rnacentral:tRNA from 1 species
GGAGGGGUGGCUGAGUGGCCGAUAGCACCGCUUUGCUAAAGCGGCGUGGGGGUCAAACCUCACCGCGGGUUCGAAUCCCGCCUCCUCCG